rnacentral:rRNA from 1 species
GCGAGCUGGGUUUAGAUCGUUGUGAGACAGGUU